rnacentral:tRNA from 1 species
UGGAGUAAAGCCAUGUGGUCAGGCAUUGGUUUUUGGUACUGGCAUGCAAAUGUUCGAAUCCUUUUACUCCAG